rnacentral:rRNA from 1 species
AUGAAGUUUUGCCUGCAAAUAAAGCGAAGAAGGAACUCAUUCUAUUACAGAUGCCUUUCUUGGGACUGCACAAAAGCAAAGUAUGGAAUAAGCAUAUGGUUCCCUUUUGUCUCCUCUGGUAAGUUUUUUACUUGUUCAGCUAUCAGGAAAAAUUAA